GACGAACGCUGGCGGCGUGCCUAAUACAUGCAAGUUGAGCGCUGAAGGUUGGUACUUGUACCCACUGGAUGAGCAGCGAACGGGUGAGUAACGCGUGGGGAAUCUGCCUUUGAGCGGGGGACAACAUUUGGAAACGAAUGCUAAUACCGCAUAAAAACUUUAAACACAAGUUUUAAGUUUGAAAGAUGCAAUUUCCUCCCUUAAAAGUGAUUCCCCGUUUUAUUAGCUAGUUGGUUAGGUUAAGGCUCACCAAGGGGAUGAUACAUUAUCGACCUGAGAGGGUGAUCGGCCACAGUGGGACUGAGAAACGGCCCAAACUCCUACGGGAGGCAGCAGUAGGGAAGCUUCGGCAAGGGACGAAAGGCUGACCGAGCAACGCCGCGGGAGGGAAGAAGGUUGUCGGAUCGUAAAACUCGGUUGGUAGAGAAGAACGUUGGUGAGAGUGGAAAGCUCAUCAAGUGACGGUAACUACACAGAAAGGGACGGCUAACUACGUG
rnacentral:rRNA from 1 species